rnacentral:rRNA from 1 species
UACAGAGGUCCCAAGCGUUGUUCGGAUUUACUGGGCGUAAAGGGCGCGUAGGCGGCCUCCGCAAGUCAGUUGUGAAAUCUCCGAGCUUAACUCGGAAAGGUCAACUGAUACUGCGGGGCUAGAGUGCGGAAGGGGCAACUGGAAUUCUCGGUGUAGCGGUGAAAUGCGUAGAUAUCGAGAGGAACACCUGCGGCGAAGGCGGGUUGCUGGGCUGACACUGACGCUGAGGCGCGAAAGCUAGGGGAGCGAACGGG